GCACACCUACUUCCGCCGAUGACGUAGUAUUUGUGUAUAUAAUGAACGAUUUUGUGAGUGGUAUAGUAUGUGACGUCCGUUGCUAUCCGAGGUGCCACUGAGAUCGUAUUGAAAAUGAUGGAUAAAUAGACAUAUGGAUAUUAAUCCUCCUAGGCACCUGAUCCCACCUUUGGUAUAUCCAGAGGUCCGUGUUUGCCCAACUCUCUAUUUUGUAUUGGCGGAUCGCCGAAUUUUUGAGUGACGGGAACAUUAGCCAAUCAGAGAGCUCCAUUUACACGCGCUUUCUGAAGCUAAGGACGCGCCGCCAUUUUGCCCGACAACAAGCGAAAAUUCGACAUUUUAUCGGAUUGUUUACAUUGGUUUAUGACAACGCAAUUAUGGUGAAACGUUGCUGUUGGGGCACUUGUAACACUGAUAGCAGAUACCCAGAUCGGCUUCAAGGAGGGAUAGUGUUCAUUCCUUUUCCAAAACCUGGAAGAAACUUGGAAAAAGCUAAGAGGUGGAUACGCUUGUGUGGUCGUCCCCAUUAUCAGUUAAAUGAAGAUAUACUCAAAGAAAGAGGGAAAGCGAAACAUUUAUACGUGUGUUCAAAGCAUUUUGUCAAUGGCCAGCCAUCUGAGAUUCAUCCUGAUCCAGUGUCUGCAGUCAGUUAUGAUGCAUUGACACCAGCUCGGAAACCACCCACCAAAAGAGGGUCAAGUUCAGAAACGAGAACUACAUCUAAGCGACAGAUUUUGAUGGACACUAGUACUGUUAUCACAAUGAAGCUGGCAGUGAUGUGUUAAAGGCAUCAUUUGAAAUCCAACAUGUUUCAACGACUGCAACUACAAGUUCUCAAGCAUCAGCAACAGAAAAUGUUAACCCAAUUAUUCCUGGUUGUAAUCCACUUGAAAUACUGGCCAUUAUUGCUGACAAUACUGCAUUAACUGAAGAGAAAGAAAAACUGCUCCGAAUUAAUUUUGAGCUGCAACAACAAGAUUCAGGACGAUUUGGAUAUAAAAAACUGAAGGACACUGAUUAUCAGUAUUAUACAGGGUUUUCUAAAGACCGGUGCAAUGUUUUAUACUCAUUUUUAGUACCAACAGAAGAAGAUCCUAUUAUAUGGAGUAAAACUCUUAAAGGUGCAAAAUCGUUGUCAACAAAGGAUCAGCUCUUGCUUGUUUUGAUAAAACUGAGACAAAACUUUGACUUUAAACAUAUUUCAUAUUUGUUUGAUAUAUCUGUGCAAGACUGCAGUGCAAUAUUCACCCACUGGAUUAAUUUCAUGUUUUUAGACUAGGUAGUGUAGAUAUAUGGCCUCAUUGUGAAGUAAUAAUCGAAAACAUGCCUGAAAAUUAUAAAAAAGAUUUUCUAGACACUUUCGUCAUUAUUGACUGUACGGAGUUAAAAGUACAAAAGCCCAGUUCUCUCAAUCGACAGAGUCAAUGUUAUUCUGACUAUAAGUCAUGCACAACUUUGAAAGGACUUGUGGGCAUAGAUCCAAGGGGGUCUGUAAUAUUUUCUUCCAUGUUAUUCUCUGGAUCAGUAUCUGAUAAAGUUAUUACAAAGGAGAGUGGCUUCCUUAAAGUAUUGUCAGACCUUAAACAAUGUGGGAAAUUACAAAAUGGUGAUGGAGUUAUGGUGGACAAAGGGUUUAAUAUUGAAAAGGAAAUCGAAGCUAUUGGUCUUCGACUAAACAUUCCACCUUUUGCGUCAUGUGCAACACAGAUGAAAGCUUCAGAGGUAACAGAAACUGUCAAAAUAACCAAACAUCGUGUGCAUGUUGAACGGGCUAUUGCUCGUAUAAAACAGUUUAAAAUACUGUCGGGCAAAAUUAGUCUUUCUCUUUUUAGUAUUGUUGAUCAGAUAUGGUUAACUUGUUGUAUAUUGACCAAUUUUAUGCCAUAUUUAAUUCAAGAUAAAGAAAACUGCUAAACUUCAUUCACUAAAUGUGUUUUGUUGUAAAUUUUCAUAAUAUCAACGAGGUUUUCCUACAAAUGGAUUUUUUUAAACGAAUCGAUUGCAUGUGGAAAAUGUAAUAAUCAUUGAUAUUUACUGUAUAAUGCUACACCAAAGAAAUUUGAUAUGGAUGAAAAGUGAGGAUAUUUGCAACAAUAUUUUGAAAUUGAAAACUUUAAAAUUUACUUCAUUUAGUCACAAUAUGCAGUUUUAGUAUAAAGCAAUCUGACCAACAACAAAAAUUUAAAACCUCUGCAGGACUCGAACCCUUGAUCUACAGUUCAACGGUCGAUAUGCUAAGCUACUCAGCUAGACGAUGAUUUUUGAAAUGAAAAGACAAAUAUUGCUGAUAUUUAUAUUUCAUUCCAUGUUUUAAAAGGAAGUCAGUCAUUGUGAUACUGUAGAGUACCUCCUUAAAAAGUUUAAUUCAUAUAUUUUGUCUGAAUAAAGUUUGAUUCAUAU